rnacentral:rRNA from 1 species
UACGUAGGGUGCGAGCGUUGUCCGGAAUUAUUGGGCGUAAAGAGCUCGUAGGCGGUCUGUCGCGUCGGUCGUGAAAACCUGCAGCUUAACUGUGGGCGUGCGGUCGAUACGGGCAUCACUGGAGUUCGGCAGGGGAGACUGGAAUUCCUGGUGUAGCGGUGAAAUGCGCAGAUAUCAGGAGGAACACCGGUGGCGAAGGCGGGUCUCUGGGCCGAUACUGACGCUGAGGAGCGAAAGCGUGGGGAGCGAACAGG